GACCAGUUAGCUCAGUCAGUUGAGCGUGGUGCUGGCAACGCCAAGGUUGCGGGUGCGAUUCCCGUUCGGUCC
rnacentral:tRNA from 1 species